rnacentral:rRNA from 1 species
CCCUUAGAUGUUCUGGGCCGCACGCGCGCUACACUGACGAAGUCAGCGAGCAUGUCCUACGCCGACAGGUGCGGGGAAUCUUGUCAAACUUCGUCGUGAUGGGGAUUGAUUAUUGAAAUUCUUGAUCAUCAACGAGGAAUUCCUAGUAAGCGCAAGUCAGCAGCUUGCGUUGAUUACGUCCCUGCCCUUUGUACACACCGCCCGUCGCUACUACCGAUGGAAUGGUUUAGUGAGAUCUUCGGAUUGGCGCCACUGCGGCUCAGCAAUGGGCUCGGUGGAUGCCGAAAAGUUGAUCAAACUUGAUCAUUUAGAGGAAGUAAAAGUCGUAACA